rnacentral:lncRNA from 1 species
UUCCUUCAUGCUCUAAAGCUAUGGCCCGAUGACCUUGGUUACACUCAUUAGAGAAGAUUUCCUCUUUAGAGGGAAAAGUGGGGCUUGUUCUAGUCUUGGAAUUCAGUGAAAGAAGAGGGAAAGAUGAAAUAAGGGAAGAUGCUCUCCCCUGACCUCCAACAAAAACAAAAACCGCAGGUUUCACCUUCUUCCUUCUGCCUGGAUGGAUCAGAAUGCUUAUGCAAUGGAAAGUGCUGAUAAACUUCAUUUUCCUGGAAUGCUAGAAGUAGAAAGGACUUACUUCAAACACCAUUCAGUCUUCACCCAGGUGAAUAAGUGUCCUGAGAAGGCUACAAUCAGGUGACCAGUGUGACCAGGAUCUCCAUCGAGGGGAAUGAUCAGAGGACCAACAAGACCAGAUCAUUCAUCAAAAUCAGCGGAUGUCCCAAAGAUAGUCCCAGAGACUGUGGAAACAGUAACCAAGUCUGAUGAAGAUGUCAACCAACAGCCCUAAAAAGCAUCCUACUUGAUCCAACCCAGCAAGGAGCCAGCUGAGCUGAUCCAAUAAGUAUUUCAUCUCCUGUGCAUGCUACUCUCAGAAGUGAACUUGGGUUGGGAUUUCUUAAAGGGAGAAAAGCACUCUGAGAGGCAAGGAAGUUCACUUUCUUGGUUUGAGGGGGCAUAUUUUAAAACAAUCACUUUAAAUUAGUCUCUUCUUCCUAAGAAGUAAGUGGCUAUGUGGUGGGGAGAGUCCACCUCUAUGGGGAGGGACAUUACUGUGCUAAUAUCCUUUGUAUAAAUCAGUAUCAGUAAAUAGCCCUGGGUUAUAAAAAAAUAAUUAGUGUUCAUUGAUAUUGUGAUGAUAUUAACUAGUUAGUUGAUACAAGAGAAUCUCCUAGAUGGGGGCUCAUGAGCAAUAGUAUUAGACUCUCUUACGCCCCAAAGCUAAUCCCAGAAUGCUGAGAAAAGCAGUACCUAGAUCUCUUCUGGGGCACCAACCUUGUAGGGCUUGUGAGAGUUGGGACAGUGAUACUAGAGCCUGUAAUGCAUACAGAUCUUUCUAACUCUGAUAUUCUGUUUCCUGGGGUUCCCUCUCUCCCUUGUCAAGUUCUUCCAGUUAAUAUCGUAUGGUAAUUCUGGUCCUGACUUCUUCAAA